rnacentral:lncRNA from 1 species
GGGCCUCGGGGCAGAAGUUCUUCCUAGGGUGUCACCUCCAGACACACUGCUGCGGCGGGAGGAUGCGUUUCUAAUAAUUUUGGCCAGAAACAAGAGGAGUCCUGUCCGAGGAGAGCCCGGCUGGCUGACUGGAAUCCCAAGACAUGCCAAGGUGUUAGAGGCACUGCCAGGGAGACCCCUCGGCCCUUCACACAGUGGCUAUCCUCUGGGAUAUUCCUGUAUCCACAAAAUGUAUUUUCUGCACACACAGGUCCCUGGGAAAUGACAGGACACCCAGAUCUGCUGGGAGCAGAGUUCUCAUAGGGUCCCAGCUGAGCCCUGGAACUCCCCAGACCCCCUCUGCCACUCCAUCUCUGCGUCAGCCCAGCACCUGUGCCCUAUCCGGCUUUGGCCACCAUCUCCACCCUGGGGAGGGGGAGCAUAACCCCCUCCAGCCUGAGGUUGGCGCCAAGGUUUAGGAGCCAGCACAGAAGCCUCUGAGAGCCAUAAGGGUAGAAAAGGUUACCCGGUACUAAACCAGCCAGCCUCGGGGUGAUCUCAUCCACUUCCCAAGAUAAGCCCCCUCCCCCACCCUCUGGCCACUGGCCAACAGGGUAAGUCACGAGGGAGCUGGUGGAAGAGUGUGUGUGAGGGCUGGGGGAAGGAUUUCAACUUGGGGUCACACUGUACAUUCUGUUUUGUGAUCAAUUCCCCCCAACAUUUACAGUAUUGACAAUUAGCAGUUUCCUGUCAGAUAAACUAUAAAGAUCUUCCCCCAUCA